rnacentral:lncRNA from 1 species
GCAGCUCCGCCCGCCGCCCAAGCCUUGGCUAGGCGCGCGCGCGCACGGGGUCGGGCGCUCCCGGGCGGCGGUGGCACCACGUAGCCGCCUCCUUCCACCGCUCGCUUUAUCCCCGCCCCUUCUCGGGCCAACCCCAAGCGCCGCUGACCCCGAACGUCGCUGCGGGUUUUGCCUUUUCCGGAAUGCCAUAUAUAAGGAAUCAUACAGUAUGCAGUCUUUCUUUCAAUUUUGCUGUGAAACUAAAACUGCUAAGAAAAUAAAGUCUUAAAAAGAAAAAUCAAUGGAGAAGGGAAAGCUCUACCACCCUCUGAUUUUUUUUAACAGCCUAUGAUAAGAGGAGAUGAAUGCCUGCUAAAGCGACCAGAAGGCUCUCAGUAAAAAGUAUUCACUAGGUAUCAAUAGAAUCUGCAAAACGAAGAGGUGCUUGAAAGAUGUGAAAGAGGAAACUUAAAGAGAAACCCAGAUGGUACAUCUCUCUUCCUGGCUAGAUAGAUGGAAUGUACAGCCAGAGGAUUGGAUGAGGUCAUCGACGGAGAGAAUGCAGAGAGAAUCCUGGGGCUCACCAACAUGAAGAAUUUGGGACAAGAAAGAAGAUCCAGCAGAGAAGACUGAAAGAAGGCAACUAAUGAAAUAGGAGAGAACCUGGAGAGCACAGAGUCUUAGAGGCCAAGAAAGUGGUUUAAUAUAAUCCGUAUCAAAGCAUUUGUGGUUUAUUUUUGUUAACUGACAAAAGGAUUCUAAAACAUACCUGAAAAGUAUAAUUCACACCUAGGAUAAUGGAUCAUUCUGUCACAUUGUUCCUUUUUCACAGCUGAUAUGAACAUGAUAUUUUCAUGACUUUGUAAAAUAAAAAUGGAAUCUUUCUAAUUUUUUUAAAAAAACUGCUUACUUAUGCAAGCCUUCUGUCUCUCACUGUAUAACCCCUCCACUUUUAUACGGGUCACACAUGUUUCUGUCACUUUCCUGGAGCCCUUGUAGCAAAUUAAUAACAUGUAGCACAUGCUUGAAGAAAAAUUUGUCUAGGACAUUUUGUUUUUGAGAUUCAUAAAUUGACUCUAUUUUACAUAAGAAUCUAUUAUGCCAUAGGAAGCUUAUUAAACCCUUGAGCAGGAACAAAUUAUUCAAUAAAUGGUGAUGAGAUGAA